rnacentral:rRNA from 1 species
UACGUAGGGUGCGAGCGUUAAUCGGAAUUACUGGGCGUAAAGCGUGCGUAGGCGGUUCGUUAAGUCAGCUGUGAAAGCCCCGGGCUCAACCUGGGAACUGCGGUUGAAACUGGCGAACUAGAAUCUGGCAGAGGGGGGUGGAAUUCCACGUGUAGCAGUGAAAUGUGUAGAGAUGUGGAGGAACACCGAUGGCGAAGGCAGCCCCCUGGGCUGAGAUUGACGCUCAGGCACGAAAGCGUGGGGAGCAAACAGG